rnacentral:rRNA from 1 species
UACGUAGGGGGCGAGCGUUGUCCGGAGUUACUGGGCGUAAAGCGCACGCAGGCGGUCUGCUAAGUUUGGAGUGACAGUUGGUGGCUUAACUGCCAAAGUGCUUCGAAAACUGACAGACUUGAGGGCUUCAGAGGGACACGGAAUUCCGGGUGGAGUGGUGAAAUGCGUAGAUAUUCGGAAGAACACCAGUGGCGAAGGCGACUGACUGGACAAGUAUUGACGCUGAGGUGCGAAAGCGUGGGGAGCAAACAGG